UCUCAGCGCGCCACACCCUCCUUGUCUUUCCACUUUUCACAUUCAAUUUUUUUCCAGAGUCUCCUGUUGCUUCCCUUCUCAUGAUCAAUUCCAAUCAGCAAUCCAUGUCCUCCGACUGGUCGGGUAAGAAGGUCCGGAAGCCCUACACCAUCACCAAGUCCAGAGAGAGUUGGACAGAGGAAGAGCAUGACAAGUUCCUCGAGGCUCUUCAGCUGUUUGAUCGUGACUGGAAGAAAAUUGAAGAUUUUGUGGGUUCUAAAACGGUUAUUCAGAUUCGAAGUCAUGCACAGAAGUACUUCUUGAAAGUUCAAAAGAAAGGGACAACAGCACAUGUGCCUCCUCCUCGGCCGAAGCGCAAGGCUUCUCAUCCUUACCCGCAGAAGGCCUCCAAAAAUGUUUUGAUUCCCUUGCAAGCGGCACUUGCUUAUCCUUCUUCCAUGAAUGCCAUUGCAUCUGGCUAUUGUCCUUGGGAUGAAGCUUCGAUUUUCUUAAAUGCCGGAUCAGAUCAAAUUGUGUUGUCACGUGGAGAAUUUAUGAAUCGCCAAGGAACGGAAGCUGAUAUUGGAUCAAAGGGGGUGGCAAGAAUUAGUAAUUGUGAUCCUAGUGGUAUCGCGAGCUCAAGUAGAACCCUACCUAGUUCUGAGAUAACAAAGCAAGGGUCACAAGCUCCUGUGAGCCAUGGUAUUCCUGAUUUUUCCGAAGUUUAUAGCUUCAUUGGAGGUGUCUUUGAUCCAGAAGCCCAAGGCCAUGCUCAGAAACUCAAGGAAAUGGAUCCCAUUAAUUUUGAAACUGUUUUGCUGUUGAUGAGAAACCUCAGUGUCAACUUGUCCAGCCCAGAUUUUGAACCGAUUUCAUUGUUCUGUUCAGAGGAAGGUCCUGGUAUCACAUGAUGCCGAUAUGAAAACAUCAGCUGCAGGAAUUAUUCCCAGUUACCGAACUAACGAUCUUUCAUGUUGAACUUCCUCUUACAUAAAGUUGCUGACUGGUAUGGUCCUGGAGAAAAAAGUAUACUGGUUCUAGAACAGCAGGGGGAAUAUGAUCUUGGGGCUUUACAAGAUGAAUGGAAGGGAAAAAACCAAAGAGUUUCAAGGUCUGGGAGGUUCUUGUUGUCUGGGGGCCUCAAUGAGUGAUUUAUCAUGUUGUGAUCUUAUUCAGGGCAACCAGAUACUUGUGUAUAUCUUGUAAAAGAUCUGUUUUGGGGUUUCUUCUAUUUGUUUUAGAAAACCA